CUACGUAGGGGGCGAGCGUUAUCCGGAAUUACUGGGUGUAAAGGGUGUGCAGGCGGCAUUGCAAGUUUGAUGUGAAACCCCGGGGCUUAACUCCGGGCAUGCAUCGAAAACUACAGAGCUAGAGUACAGGAGAGGAAAGCGGAAUUCCUAGUGUAACGGUGAAAUGUGUAGAUAUUAGGAAGAACACCAGUGGCGAAGGCGGCUUUCUGGACUGAAACUGACGCUGAGACACGAAAGCGUGGGGAGCAAACAGGAUUAGAUACCCUGGUAGUCCACGCUGUAAACGAUGAAUACUAGGUGUCGGGGCCGUAGGCCUCGGUGCCGCAGUUAACGCAAUAAGUAUUCCACCUGGGGAGUACGGCCGCAAGGCUGAAACUCAAAUGAAUUGACGGGG
rnacentral:rRNA from 1 species